rnacentral:lncRNA from 1 species
GGCCACCAUGUGCUCAUUAACCGAUUUGUACAUGAUGACAACACGAAUACUGUCAUACGUAAAAUCAUAACACGGUGAAAAUGUUCUAUUGAUGUAUUGUAAUUUCGGUAGUAUAACGGUAUAAUAUUGUUGAAUCCACAGUAUGACAUAUCAAUUUAUAGAACAUAUUAAAGUAAACAGCAACAACACAAAUUAUUUACAUAGCAAAAUAUUAUAAUGCUCAAAUACAAAAUAAAAUCAAUAAAAAUGCAACGCAAUCGAAACCGAAGUCAAACAUACAUCCAUACUAAAAAAAAGUGGAAUUGAGUAAAAAAGAACUAGGAAAAAACAAACUACACAUACUGAACGAAAGUUACUUAAACUUGAAUUUAGCAUAAACAUUACAAGAGAUAAAAAAUGAAAGAAAACUGAAUAGUUAAUAAAAGAAAAUGAAAGUUAUUAGAAACAAACUCUCAUAUUGAACCAAAUGCAAAUUAUUAGAAACAAAUUCUCAUAUUGAACCAUCAAGUGAUAAUUAAUAAAACAAAAAUAUAGCUAUGCUUUUUUUUAAGAGACAAAUUAAGUUAUGAUUAAAAAGUAUUAGCACAAUUCAUGCUAGCAUAUGAAGAAGUAUAGACACAUUAUAACCACAAAUUGCAUUCAUACGGCUACAAAUCAUGCAGCAAAAACAACAUAAUUACAAAACAUAUCUUAAACAUAAAUAGCAAAAAAAAUAACAACUAUAAACAUUUUUCUUUUGCCACACAACUCCAAGCAGGGAGACAAUUUAUCUGCCAAGAUAAGCAACACCUUGACAUGCAUUUGCAACCAAAUAAGCUAAUCAACAUGCACCAAAAUGUAAAUCAUGUCAUUUGAAUAACUAAGUGAUGGCAUAUUUUCUUUAAAAACAAAAAAAAAACAAAGGCAAGAUCUAUGUUCCAAGUAAAUCUUUUCAAAACAAAAUAUCAUGAAUAAAAAGGUACAAUAUAAAGAAUGUGAAAAUUACCACUGCCGGCGGAAGAACCUGGAGAGAGUAAGCUCGACUAUUAUGUUAUUAUUUUAGAGUUGCUGUAAAGAAACUUGAGCAGAGUCAUGUAGUUGUUACCGUCGUCGUAAACAUGACCGAACCGAAAUAAAUCUUCCCCAAAACUUGCAAGAACAAACUCGGCGAAGUGACUCAAUCUCGUUAGUAUGGUUGCUUGAAGGUUCGUGGAGCAUGGUUACUGAGUUUAUUCAUGCGGCGAUGUCGUGGUAUGGUGAAGGAAGUGGAAUACAUCGACGAAAUCUUAUGUUAGAUGCGGUGGUCGGUCAUGUGUGUUUGACAAGUAGAUGAUGGUGGACAUGAAGGUUGUUUCGGGGUGAGUCGGAAGUGAAUUGGUGGGAGAACAGUGAGAGAGAUCGCUGGUUUUAAUGGUGAUUUGAACACGGUGUUGGAUGGAUGUUGGUGGUGACGUCGGCGGUCUCGUGGCCGGAUCUGAAGUGGGUUUUUCGGUGGUGCGAAGGUCAGUCGAAGGGAGUUCGUCGUAGGGUUGUGGUUGUGGCACGCGAUGUUUGUGAGCGAAGAACGGAGAGGGGUUGUUGGCGGUUGGCUCGCCGGUGAUUUAUGGUGGUGGGUUUAUGGUAAGAGGCGGAAAAAUGGAGAGAAGAGGUAACCGUGGGUUUGUUGGAUUUUGACUCUUUUUCCUUAUUCUUUUCUUUUUGUUUCUCUUUUCUCAUGCUACAGAGAAUGAGUCCUCCUGUGAGAGAGAAAUGCGGGUAUAUGUAUAUGAGUUUUUAGCUUUUUCUUUUCUUAUUUUUUGUUUUAUUGGGUGAGUCCAGAUAGAAGAGGGAGAGGGAGAGGCGUGUAAGAGUGAAGGUAGGAGUCUUGGAAUAUUAUGAGGGUAAC